CUAGCAGCUUGCAAAAGGCAAAGCAACGCAGUUCAGUUGGUGUCGACAUUAAAUGGAACUCGUGAAAAUAAAACAAAUACCACUUUUAAAGUGGAGAAAUUGGAAUAGCGUCAUUAAAAGCUGAAGAUCAUAUUGCAAUGGAAAACUUGGAGCUGUGCACUGCAUAUGAGAUGGAAUUUAAAGCUUCUUUCAGUUGUAAUGGCGAAUUGAAUUGGAUUGAGUCCCCUGAAGAAUGAGCCGUUGAAGUUUUGAUUGCUCGCGUCGCAAUUUCGAGCUGUGUUGCUUUUUUAAUGUGGAAUGAUAGAAUGGCUACAUCGUGGUCGUCAUUGAGGAUGCAGGAAUAAAGCAUAAUUAUCCAUUUUUGAGCGGGGGGAACCGAAAUAAUCAAUCCAUUGCAGUUAAGGUGGAGACGAGACAAACAGCUUAAUGGGACCGCGUGCGUUAUAGGUGAUAGCUUUUCCAUAUUCAGUGGCUCCUUUCUUUUUCCCGGUCCACAAAGGAUAAGGUGAUAACACAAGCGUACGCAAAUCUUAGUUGAAGAUAAAGCCCCUCUGCUCUUCUUCUCAGUCCUCACGCGGUCACCCUUCCUCUGUAACCAGAGCUCUAGAGGAGUUACACAAUUUACCUCCUCCAUGACACCCUCUCUCUCCCUCCGCGUCUCCACUCCCUCUCUUUUCCUAUCCCCUUCCCUUCCCUUCUUUACCCCACUCCCUCUCUUCAAAUCUCCACCUCACCGAACCCAUCAUUUCCCUAUCCUCUCUCUCGCCAAUAAUUCAUUUGGACAACCAGUCAAUCAGGACUUCUCGACAGAGCAGCCGCAGCUGCAGCCAAGAACGCUGUUUCCUGGCGGGUACAAGCGCCCCGAAGUCAAGGUUCCUAAUAUUGUCCUCCAGCUUGUCCCCGAUGACGUUUUGAGUGGUGGUGAUGCCUUGGAUUUGAUUGAUAAGGUCGUGUCUAAGUGGGUUGGAAUCGUGGUCCUCAAUGGCGGUGAUGGCACCGGUAAGACAUUGUACGAGGCAGCUUGUUUGUUGAAGUCGGUUGUGAGGGAUCGUGCGUAUUUGUUGAUUGGAGAGCGCGUUGAUAUCGCUGCUGCUGUUAAUGCUAACGGGGUUGUGCUCUCUGAUCAAGGUCUUCCUGCCAUUGUGGCAAGAAACAUGAUGAUGGAUUCCAAAUCUGAAUCUAUAGUUCUCCCUUUAGUAGGCAGAAAUGUGCAGACUUCUAGGGCUGCCUUGAGUGCAUCAAAUUCUGAAGGCGCUGAUUUCCUAAUAUAUGGUCUUGAACAGGAGAAAUAUUUUGAUGCAAAAAUGUACUCUGGAAUUGCGGAUGUGAAAAUACCAAUCUUUGUUAUCUAUUCUUCACAUAGAGAAGCUAAAUCAAUUAUGAAGGCAUCACAAUUGCUGAAAUCUGGUGCUGGUGGUUUAGUUAUGUCAUUAGAAGAUUUGAGAUUGUUUGAUGAUGAGUCUUUCAGCCAAUUGUUUAACACUGCAAGUGCAGCAGAAAAAAAAACAGAAAGCGAGCCCAGAAGCUUCAAUAAGUUCAAACCAGUGGAUGUGGAAAAUGAUACUAAAGGUGACAAGAGGGUUGCAGGCUUUGUUAAAUUGGAGGACAGAGAAAAACAACUUAUAGAAGCAGAGAGAUCAAUAUUAUUUGAAUGCAUAAAUGUUAUUCAUAAAGCUGCUCCUCAGAUGAAGGAGGUUUCACUUCUAAUUGACGCAGUUUCUCAAAUUGAUGAGCCAUUUUUGCUGGCCAUAGUGGGGGAGUUUAAUUCUGGUAAAUCAACUGUUAUUAAUGCACUUCUUGGAGAAAGAUACCUUAAAGAGGGCGUUGUCCCAACGACCAAUGAGAUUACUUUCUUAUGUUAUUCUAAGUAUAAUUCUGAAGAUCCACAACGUUGUGAAAGGCAUCCCGAUGGUCAAUAUAUAUGUUACCUUCCUGCUCCAAUUCUUAAGGAAAUGAACAUUGUUGAUACACCAGGGACUAAUGUCAUUCUUCAAAGGCAACAGAGCCUUACUGAGGAAUUUGUGCCUCGUGCAGAUUUGCUUCUGUUUGUCAUUUCUGCUGACCGACCAUUAACUGAAAGUGAGGUGGCUUUUCUGCGUUACACUCAACAGUGGAAGAAGAAAGUUGUGUUUGUGUUAAAUAAAUCUGACCUCUAUCAGAGUAGCAGUGAGCUUGAGGAAGCUGUAUCAUUCAUCAAGGAGAACACAAGGAAUUUGCUGAACACUGAAAACGUGACAUUAUAUCCAGUCUCUGCUCGGUCUGCUCUUGAAGCAAAAUUGUCAGCUUCUUCUGACAUUAAAGUAGAUUAUAACAAAUCAUUAGUUUCAGAAUCUCAGUGGAAAAUCAAUAGCUUCUAUGAACUUGAGAGAUUUUUACAUAGCUUUUUAGAUGGCUCAACAGAAACAGGAAUGGAAAGAAUGAAGCUUAAACUUGAGACACCAAUUGCAAUUGCUGAUCGAAUACUUUGUACUUGUGAAACUCUUGUGGAACAAGAACGCCAAUAUGCUGAGCAGGAUUUGACCAAUGUGACUGAAUUAAUUGAUAGUGUGAAAGAGUUGACCAUGAAGAUGGAAAAGGAGAGCAUCUCUUGGAGAAGGAAAACUUCAUUGCUGAUUGAAAAGACAAAAUCCCGUGUUCAGGAGCUUGUGGAAUCCACCCUACAAAUAUCAAACAUUAAUCUUGUCACAGCAUAUGUUUUCAAAGGGGAAAACUCUGCAUUGACUCCAGCAGCCAUCAGGGUUGAGAAUGAUAUAAUUGGUCCAGCUGUUGUAGAUGCAAAAAACUUGAAGAAUAUGGAUUGUGGUUACAAUCAAAUAGUGCUCGUGAAGGGAAGCUAUACCAAGAAUCUUUUGAAAAAAGAUGGCCUUCAUUUAUCAAUUCAAACACACAGAUGCAUUUGGAGACCUAUGAUUUAAUUGAAAAAGUCAAUGUCCUCAGCUUAAAAGUGAUUGAGAACUUCAGUGCUGGUGGAGCUUCCAAGCUGUUUGAACAAGAAAUACGUGAAUUGUAUGUGGGAACAUUUGGUGGACUAGGAGCUGCUGGUUUAUCUGCCUCUCUUCUAACAUCUGUGCUACCAACCACUUUAGAGGAUCUUCUUGCUCUUGGCCUUUGUUCUGCUGGAGGGUUUAUAGCAAUUUCAAAUUUCCCAUCCCGCAAGCAAGGCUUAAUAGACAAGAUAAGUAGGAUUGCAGAUGGGUUGGCACGUGAAAUUGAGGAGGCGAUGCAGAAAGAUCUCUUGGAAACUGUUACGAAUUUAGAAAACUUUGUAAGACAAAUUGGCAAGCCUUACAAAGAUGCAUCACAACAAAGGCUAGACAAACUUUUAGACGUUCAAAAUGAAUUAUCGGAUGUUAAGGAAAAACUUAGAACACUGCAAGUAGAAGUGCAGAAUCUUCAUGUAUCAUGAGUUGCAUUACAUUUUAUUGUUAAGAGUAUAAGAACAGGGAAGUGCAUUGUUGUAAUGUUAGUCAAACCAGAUUGGUUGGGGGAGUAUAUGUAAAAUGUUAUUAUGCAUGGAUGAGAACAUCCAUUUGCAAGAAACGAUGCGGAAAUAAAAUCUUUGAUUUUUUUUUUA